rnacentral:rRNA from 1 species
GACAGAGGAGGCAAGCGGUGUUCGGAAUCAUUGGGCUUAAAGCGCGCGUAGGCGGCCUUGUAAGUGUCUUGUGAAAUCCCACGGCUCACCCGUGGAACUGCAGGGCAAACUGCAAGACUUGAGGUCGGUAGAGGCGCCUGGAACUCUAGGUGGAGCGGUGAAAUGCGUAGAUAUCUAGGGGAACGCCGGAGGCGAAAGCGGGGCGCUGGGCCGAUUCUGACGCUGAGGUGCGAAAGCGUGGGGAGCAAACAGG